CAAAGCACACAUUAUAUUUCCCUUAUAUUUGAAUCUAGACAGAAUUACAAAAAACCUCCUUAUAAACACCUGUUUUUUUACUUUUUCUUCCUAAUUUUUAAAACCUACAUUUUAUUCUCUCAAUAUUUCAAAUUGUUAUAUUAGGCCCUCCUCCGCUAGGGUUACAUCACUUUUCCGCCUAUUUCUUAUAAUUAUACUGAAAAAAUAUUUCAAAAUUACAAAAAUACAUUAAAAAAAAUUGUUUAUAGAAGAAACAAAGAUAAUUUGAUAAUUUUGCCCUCUCCAUUAAUACAGUAUUCUCCUGAAAAUAUUUCUGAAAUUUUAAGGGGACAAUGUAGGUUUUUGAAAGUCAGAAAGACAAAGUGAAAAAACGGAUAUUUAUAACGAGAUUUUCUAUAAUUUAACCUUUUAAUCUAUGUAUAGAACAACUACAGCACUACUGAAACUGUGUGCAACUAAACAACCCCUUAAAGGAGGGAAGAAGAGAAAGAAAAAUGGCUAAAUAAUUUUUACAUCAAUUUCAUUAACUAUUAACUAAGAAAAUUUUACUAAGGGUGUCAACGAGUCGAACAUAAGCGAGCUGAGGCCGGCUAGUGUUCGGGCCGGCUAGUGUUCACGAGCUGACUCAUGAACAAUAAGUUAAGGUAUUGUUUGGUUCGGGGAUAAGCAAAAAGUGGAUAUUCUAGGGAUAGGUAUAAAUUAAGUGAUAAGCGGGGAUUAGAUCAAUUUUGCGUUUGGAUGAAAAUUGGAUUAUUUUUGGGAAUAAGAAAAGUAAUGGGUUUUUAUAAAUAAAAAAUAAUGAUAUUAUUCUCUUAUUAUAUUUGAAUUUGAAUUUUUAAAAUUUUAAAAUUUUAACUUUGAAAUUU
rnacentral:lncRNA from 1 species